rnacentral:misc_RNA from 1 species
UCUCCGUUGGUGAACCAGCGGAGGGAUCAUUACAGAGUUGCAACACUCCCAAACCAUUGUGAACGUUACCUAUCCCGUUGCUUCGGCGGGCGGCCCGGGCCCCGCGCCCGGCGCCCCCCGGCCCCCCGUGGGCGCCCGCCGGAGGUAAACCAAACCCUUGAAUUGCAUGGCCUCUCUGAGUCUUCUGUACUGAAUAAGUCAAAACUUUCAACAACGGAUCUCUUGGUUCUG